rnacentral:rRNA from 1 species
AUUGAACGCUGGCGGCAUGCCUUACACAUGCAAGUCGAACGGUAACAGGUCUUCGGAUGCUGACGAGUGGCGAACGGGUGAGUAAUACAUCGGAACGUGCCUAGUAGUGGGGGAUAACUACUCGAAAGAGUGGCUAAUACCGCAUGAGAUCUACGGAUGAAAGCAGGGGAUCGCAAGACCUUGUGCUACUAGAGCGGCCGAUGGCAGAUUAGGUAGUUGGUGGGAUAAAAGCUUACCAAGCCGACGAUCUGUAGCUGGUCUGGGAGGACGAUCAGCCACAAUGGGACUGGGACACGGCCCAGACUCCUACGGGAGGCAGCAGUGGGGAAUUUUGGACAAUGGGCGCAAGCCUGAUCCAGCAAUGCCGCGUGCAGGAUGAAGGCCUUCGGGUUGUAAACUGCUUUUGUACGGAACGAAAAGCCCCGGGUUAAUACCCUGGGGUCAUGACGGUACCGUAAGAAUAAGCACCGGCUAACUACGUGCCAGCAGCCGCGGUAA